UACGUAGGGCGCAAGCGUUAUCCGGAAUUAUUGGGCGUAAAGAGCUCGUAGGCGGUUUGUCGCGUCUGCCGUGAAAGUCCGGGGCUCAACUCCGGAUCUGCGGUGGGUACGGGCAGACUAGAGUGAUGUAGGGGAGACUGGAAUUCCUGGUGUAGCGGUGAAAUGCGCAGAUAUCAGGAGGAACACCGAUGGCGAAGGCAGGUCUCUGGGCAUUUACUGACGCUGAGGAGCGAAAGCAUGGGGAGCGAACAGG
rnacentral:rRNA from 1 species